UUAAAUAACUGACAAAACAUUCCCAGACAGUUCAGCUGAAAAUUAGGACAGCCAUUACUGAGACACAUUGUAAAUAAUCACAUUUAUCUUCAAGCUAAGCAGAUCAGAAUUAAUCAUUAUUCUGGGGAUUUAAAUUAUUUCUCAGAAAAAGGAUGGCAAGAGAAACGAAUUGUUUUGUUAUUUCCCUGUAGAUGCCCUAGAAAAGAGGAAGGGGGUUGUCAAUGACUCAGAGUGAAACUCUGAAGACCUCUGCCUACCAUGAGGAGAACAACAUGUGUGGAACAGCAGAAAGAGAGAGAACAACUUUGCAGAGCUUCCUGAGUGCCUGCCUUCUCUUAGAUAUGCUGCCUGGUGAGCUGUGUUGUUGGU